rnacentral:rRNA from 1 species
CCCUUAGAUGUCCUGGGCCGCACGCGCGCUACACUGAUACGUUCAACGAGCCUUCCUUGGUCGAGAGGCCUAGGUAAUCUUUUGAACGCGUAUCGUGAUAGGGAUAGAUCAUUGCAAUUAUUGAUCUUGAACGAGGAAUUCCUAGUAAACGCGAGUCAUCAGCUCGCAUUGAUUACGUCCCUGCCCUUUGUACACACCGCCCGUCGCACCUACCGAUUGAGUGAUCCGGUGAAUAAUUCGGACUGCAGCAGUGUUCAGUUCCUGAACGUUGCAGCGGAAAGUUUAGUGAACCUUAUCACUUAGAGGAAGGAGAAGUCGUAACA